rnacentral:rRNA from 1 species
AUUGAACGCUGGCGGCAUGCUUUACACAUGCAAGUCGAACGGCAGCACGGGGGCAACCCUGGUGGCGAGUGGCGAACGGGUGAGUAAUACAUCGGAACGUGCCCAAUCGUGGGGGGAUAACGUAGCGAAAGCUACGCUAAUACCGCAUACGAUCUACGGAUGAAAGCGGGGGAUCGCAAGACCUCGCGCGAAUGGAGCGGCCGAUGGCAGAUUAGGUAGUUGGUGGGGUAAAGGCUCACCAAGCCAACGAUCUGUAGCUGGUCUGAGAGGACGACCAGCCACACUGGGACUGAGACACGGCCCAGACUCCUGCGGGAGGCAGCAGUGGGGAAUUUUGGACAAUGGGCGAAAGCCUGAUCCAGCCAUUCCGCGUGCAGGAUGAAGGCCUUC